AUUUGAAUCAAGUAUCAGUCGAUGAGGUGAAUUUAAAAGUGUAACAACGGCGAAUAAGUUCUAAAACUAAGAUAAAAAAUUUAAAAAAAAAAAUUGAUUUAAAUUCGUGCAGUUUUGAUAUUGAUUGAGGAAAAGUAAAUUAAAGAAAUCUUCUAAAAAUGAGUGCAAAAUUAGUAUUGGUUUAUGCUUUGAUAAGUUUAUCGUUCAUAUAUGCGACAUGUGGCGUAAUUGAAAAUAACGAAACCAGUGAUUCGGACUAUUUUGGAAUUCACGUUUACCCACAAGAACGGCAGUGUGCUAUGCUCGGCGGUAUGUGUGUGCACAAAGAUGAUUGCGAACCAACACAACUCACAUCAACAAAAGGCUUGUGCAAGAAUAAUAGCGGUCUUGGUGUGGAGUGUUGUUAUCAAGUUAUACCUCGAUCCGCGACAUGCAGACAAUUUCUUGGUGAGUGUAUGGCAACUUGUAGUGAAAAUUUGGUGAGAGACGAGGCAAAUGAUUGCCCUGAAAAUACAAAGUGCUGUACGCUCGUAUAAUUCAUCGCUCUCUUAUAUAACAAUAAGUUUAGCCUUUAAUCACAUUAUUUAUUUUGUAUUUUUAUGUUGAACUGUAAAUCGGUUGAGAAAUAUAUGAAAUUGGUAAAUAUUUACAACUAA